GAGAUCCUAGUAAAAUGUAUUACAUUAUCUUGUCAAGGCAAAAUUGUGAGUUUAAAUCCCACGGAUCUUA
rnacentral:tRNA from 1 species